CGACAGAAUAAGUGAAACUUGGCCAGAAGCUUACCUCUAAAAUAAAGAAAUAUAAAAAAGGUAGAGUUAUUUUUAAAUUCUGUAUUUUACUCAUACAUGGACUUAAGCACUUUUUACAGUAAAAAAAAAACAGUUUUAACACCAACAGCAGGAAUCACAAACGACACUGGUUCCAUAGAUAUCUUUAACGAAUUUUUAUAUAUCUCUGACAGUUUUCGGUUUAUAUCAGAC
rnacentral:lncRNA from 1 species